rnacentral:rRNA from 1 species
AGAGUUUGAUCCUGGCUCAGGAUGAACGCUGGCGGCGUGCCUAACACAUGCAAGUCGAGCGAGAAAUCGGUGAUUGAAGCUUCGGUAGAUUGAUCCGGUGGAAAGCGGCGGACGGGUGAGUAACGCGUAGGCAACCUGCCCCUUACACAGGGAUAGCCACUGGAAACGGUGAUUAAAACCUGAUGACACCUUAGGAUGACAUCUUCCCAAGGUCAAAGAUUUAUCGGUAAGGGAUGGGCCUGCGUCUGAUUAGAUAGUUGGUGAGGUAACGGCCCACCAAGUCAACGAUCAGUAGCCGACCUGAGAGGGUGAUCGGCCACAUUGGAACUGAGACACGGUCCAAACUCCUACGGGAGGCAGCAGUGGGGAAUAUUGCACAAUGGGGGAAACCCUGAUGCAGCAACGCCGCGUGAAGGAUGAAGGUCUUCGGAUUGUAAACUUCUGUCCUUGGGGAAGAUAAUGACGGUACCCAUGGAGGAAGCCCCGGCUAACUACGUGCCAGCAGCCGCGGUAAUACGUAGGGGGCGAGCGUUAUCCGGAAUUAUUGGGCGUAAAGAGUGCGUAGGUGGUUACCUAAGCAGGGGGUGAAAGGCACUGGCCUAACCAAUGUCAGCCCCCUGAACUGGGCUACUUGAGUGCAGGAGAGGGAAGUGGAAUUCCUAGUGUAGCGGUGAAAUGCGUAGAUAUUAGGAGGAACACCGGCGGCGAAGGCGACUUUCUGGACUGUUACUGACACUGAGGCACGAAAGUGUGGGGAGCAAACAGGAUUAGAUACCCUGGUAGUCCACACCGUAAACGAUGAGCACUAGGUGUCGGGUAAGCAAUUACUCGGUGCCGCAGUUAACGCAUUAAGUGCUCCGCCUGGGGAGUACGUACGCAAGUAUGAAACUCAAAGGAAUUGACGGGGACCCGCACAAGCAGCGGAGCAUGUGGUUUAAUUCGAAGCAACGCGAAGAACCUUACCAGGGCUUGACAUCCCU